AGGACCUUGGUGCAGGACAUUUGCUUACCUUCCCAGGGCUGGUCCCUGGUCCUCACCACCCAGGAGAGCUGCCUGCUGCUGUCACUGCCUCAUCGGGUACACCUGCACUGGACCUCCAGCUGGCACAAGUGGGAACAGAUUCACCAUCAGCCGGAGCAGGACCCCAAGACCUCCAAAGGCCAUUUCCAAAGCCAAGACCAGAGGAUGCUGGGACUUCCGGGUUUGAGCCCAAGCAGUCAGCAGACAACUUUUGCGACCCCAGAAGACAUGGGCGCUCCCCCCACCAGUACGCCAGCAGCUGCAUGAGCAGCAGGCCAGCUGCACUUCCUGGAAUUGCUGAAUGCUGACACUGUCCACCCAGAGGAGCAACAGAGCCCGAGGGUUGAAAUCCUGCCCCAAGCCUCAAAAUAAAAAAUAGAAAGGGCUGGGGAUGUAGUUCAGUGGCAGAAUACCCCCAUGUUUGAUCCCCAGUACAGACA
rnacentral:lncRNA from 1 species